rnacentral:rRNA from 1 species
AGAGUUUGAUCAUGGCUCAGGACGAACGCUGGCGGCGUGCUUAACACAUGCAAGUCGAACGAGAUCCAUGAGGUGGUAACACCCCGGAAGAUCUAGUGGCGAACGGGUGAGUAACACGUGAGGAACUUGCCCCAGACUCCGGGAUAACUCAGGGAAACUUGAGCUAAUACCGGAUAUUCUCAUCAGGUCGCAUGGCCAUUUGAGGAAAGUUUUUCGGUCUGGGAGAGCCUCGCGGCCUAUCAGCUAGUUGGUGAGGUAACGGCCCACCAAGGCUACGACGGGUAGCUGGUUUGAGAGAACGAUCAGCCACACUGGAACUAAGACACGGUCCAGACUCCUACGGGAGGCAGCAGUGGGGAAUCUUGCGCAAUGGGCGAAAGCCUGACGCAGCAACGCCGCGUGCGGGAUGACGGCCCUUCGGGUUGUAAACCGCUUUCAGCAGGGACGAAAAUGACGGUACCUGCAGAAGAAGCCCCGGCUAACUACGUGCCAGCAGCCGCGGUAAUACGUAGGGGGCAAGCGUUGUCCGGAUUUAUUGGGCGUAAAGAGCUCGUAGGCGGUUCAGCAAGUCGGGUGUGAAAAAUCUGGGCUCAACCCAGUGGAGCACCCGAUACUGCUGUGACUAGAGUCCGGUAGGGGAGUGUGGAAUUCCUGGUGUAGCGGUGAAAUGCGCAGAUAUCAGGAGGAACACCAACGGCGAAGGCAGCACUCUGGGCCGGUACUGACGCUGAGGAGCGAAAGCGUGGGGAGCGAACAGGAUUAGAUACCCUAGUAGUCC